UCUAGCAAUUGUACUGACCCUCCUGUGUUCUGGGGAACCUGCGGGGAGCCUUCCCACGGAGAACUUUACAAAUAAGAAGAUUCAUUAGUUCCCAGCUCGUGGUGAUGCUUUCUUCAAUCCUUUAAAUUCUGUGUUUCUCAUCUCCAAAAUGGGAAUCACGGACAUCCUCUUGGGGUUGUUGACGGUCGAGAGAAAAGACACGUUGGAGAGCCUGGCUGCCGUCUGGCCCGUGACAGAUGACGGAGGGUCGGUGCUCAUUAUCAAUGGACGAGGGACAAGCUUGGGCUUUGUGGGGCGUUUCCAUGAUCAAUAACGUAGUUCCUCUUGGAAUUCUCGCCGUGCUACAGGAACCGUUACGUCGAACACCUUCCCGUCAGCAGCCGUGAACGGGCUGACCCACGGCAGAACGGAAGUGACCAGCAGCUCCCGUGAGCUGAAUUCACCGUGUUUUUGACAAAUGACCGGGAAGCGACAAGUCCCAAAUGUUUCCUCAGUUUCCAGGAGCGGCUGUCUUGGGAACGGACGACCUCGUCCUGGGAGAGCCACUUGGGAGUCCCUGCCCGGCCGUGUCGCCUGCUCUCCUGACCCUCCGUCACCUGCCUCUUCUCUGGGCUUCUUCGCUUUCUCCCUCACUCCCCAAGUUUCAGAAGAUGAUGCUGUUGAAGAUCAGUGGAAAAUGGCCAGGGAAACCCGCAACGCCAACCACACCGUCCCUGGUCACACACAAAGGCAACAUCAUCUACCUACUCGGGCUCCUGGUUCUCAGCUUUUCAUGAAUUGA
rnacentral:lncRNA from 1 species